GUUGUGGAUGAACGGAUGAAACUUCUAGUUCAGGCGGCAGCGCUGGUAGCUGUGAUUCGGGCCUGGAUCCUGUUGGUCCAUAAGAGAGUUGUUUGUCGGAAUGAUAAACCUCUCGUCCGGUAUGGUCCGAUGUUAAUUCGGGGUCGGGAGAAGAUAGCGAAUCUGAACUACAUCUACAACUACAACAACACAGAGGCUCUGUGGAUGCUUCGAAUGAAAAUAGCACCUUUCACCAGGCUUGUGCAGACAUUCAGGAGCAGGGGGUUGCUAGAAGAUAGCAUCCACACCACCGUGGAAGAGCAAGUAGCCAUGUUCCUUCAUGUUGUUGGUCAUAACCAGAGGUUCAGGGUUGUACACAAUACCUUCAAGAGAUCAAUGGAGACCAUAUUCAGGUACUUCAAGCAAGUGAUGUAUGUUGUUGGGGAGCUUAGAGGAGAGAUGAUCGGCGUUCCCCAACAGCGGACUCCUACCAAGAUUCGCACUAGCCUAAGAUGGUAUCCAUACUUUAAGAUGAGCACUGACAGUAUGUAG
rnacentral:rRNA from 1 species